AGUUUUGACAAGCCAGCUCGGAAAUCGGGAACGGUCGGAGGCUCGCUCACACUAUCCGUAUACCAUCUUGGCAUAAUGGCUUGUAUAUUUUGAAUCAUCUUCUCGUGGAACGUGUCAAGCCGGACCAACUAAAAGCUCACACUCUUCUAUCAUUGAACCGAUAGAUAUUUAAUCGUUUUGGACCCUUAAUGUUGUGGCAUGUGUCUAGGUGUUUUGAUGUGUAAAAAUUAUUAUGUUAUGAACUUGGAAUAUGUAAGCAGAUGCUGUCUUGAUAUAUGGUUUGAUAUGCUUGAUUUAGCAAUGGUUGAUACCUAAUGAAAUGGCAUGUUGUGGUUGACAUACUUUAGGAUAUAUGGGAUAAGAAAUGUCAUGUUCAUGAGUUGACUUGGUACAUGUAAUGUUAGUGAAUGGAUUGUUGAAUUGGUAUGCCCUAAUGGUAUUGAAAUGUUUAAACUUAGUUGAUGAUUUAGAAUUGAA